UGGGUUUCACCUCUAGCCUACCCCAACUUGUUUGGGACUAAAGGCUUUGUUGUUGUUGUUGUUGUAUUGACUUUUGCAUCUGCAUUAUCGAUCAUGUGUAGGCUUACAUUCAGCAGCUUAAGAGUGGUAAGCUGAAGCUUGCUCAACUAGAACAGGAUCUCCAGAGGGCUCGUUCUCAGGGACUCUUUGUUGGAGGAGCUCCAGGUGGAAACUCCAGCCCUGGUGCUGCUUGUUGGAUGUCGAGUACAGCAGGUGGCUGGAUGACGACAGCAGGCGCAUGACUCCGGGGAGGCAUGCACGCGCACUUGUCGGAUGGUGACCUCAGGGCCAUCAUCGACGACACCUUGACCCACUACGAUGAGCUAUUUCGCCUCAAGAGUGCCGCUGCUAGGGCGGAUGCCUUCCAUCUCAUCACUGGGAUGUGGGCAACCCCGGCCGAGCACUGGUACCUUUGGAUGGGCGGCUUUCGGCCCUCUGAUGUGCUC